rnacentral:rRNA from 1 species
CAAUACAGAGCGGCGGACGGGUGAGUAACACGUAAACAAUCUGCCCUCAAGUGGGGAAUAACUAUCCCAACGGAUAGCUAAUACCGCAUAAGGAUGGAGGUGGCAUCACCUCUUCUCGAAAGGCGAAGCCUCGGCUUCGGCCGCUUAAGGAUGAGUUUGCGUCCCAUUAGCUUGUUGGCGGGGUAACGGCCCACCAAGGCUACGAUGGGUAUCCGGCCUGAGAGGGUGUACGGACACAUUGGGACUGAGAUACGGCCCAGACUCCUACGGGAGGCAGCAGUAGGGAAUUUUGCGCAAUGGGGGAAACCCUGACGCAGCAACGCCAUGUGUGGGAUGAAGCAUUUCGGUGUGUAAACCACUGUCAGCAGGGAAUAAAAGGUCCUUUGGACAUUUGAAUGUACCUGCAAAGGAAGCCCCGGCUAACUUCGUGCCAGCAGCCGCGGUAAUACGAGGGGGGCAAGUGUUGUUCGGAAUCACUGGGCGUAAAGGGAGCGUAGGCGGGCUUUUAAGUUAGGUGUUUAAUCCCGGGGCCCAACCCCGGACCGGCACCUAAAACUGGGAGUCUUGAAUAGUGGAGAGGUCAGUGGAAUUGGGGGUGUAGCGGUGGAAUGCGUAGAGAUCCCCAAGAACACCAGUUGCGAAGGCGGCUGACUGGACACAUAUUGACGCUGAGGCUCGAAAGCAUGGGGAGCAAACAGGAUUAGAUACCCUGGUAGUCCAUGCCAUAAACGAUGAAUACUAGGUAUUGGGCCCGUCAACGGUCCAGUGCCGCAGCUAACGCGUUAAG